UACAGAGGUCUCAAGCGUUGUUCGGAUUCAUUGGGCGUAAAGGGUGCGUAGGCGGUGACGUAAGUUGGAUGUGAAAUCCCGGGGCUCGACCCCGGAACUGCAUUCAAUACUGCGUUGCUAGAGUACUGGAGAGGAGAUUGGAAUUCACGGUGUAGCAGUGAAAUGCGUAGAUAUCGUGAGGAAGACCAGUGGCGAAGGCGAAUCUCUGGACAGUUACUGACGCUGAGGCACGAAGGCCAGGGGAGCAAACGGG
rnacentral:rRNA from 1 species